GAUGAACGCUGGCGGCGUGCCUAAUACAUGCAAGUCGAGCGAAUGGAUUAAGAGCUUGCUCUUAUGAAGUUAGCGGCGGACGGGUGAGUAACACGUGGGUAACCUGCCCAUAAGACUGGGAUAACUCCGGGAAACCGGGGCUAAUACCGGAUAACAUUUUGAACCGCAUGGUUCGAAAUUGAAAGGCGGCUUCGGCUGUCACUUAUGGAUGGACCCGCGUCGCAUUAGCUAGUUGGUGAGGUAACGGCUCACCAAGGCAACGAUGCGUAGCCGACCUGGGAGGGGGAUCGGCCACACUGGGACUGAGACCCGGCCCAGACUCCUACGGGAGGCAGCAGUAGGGAAUCUUCCGCAAUGGACAAAAGUCUGACGGAGCAACGCCGCGUGAGUGAUGAAGGCUUUCGGGUCGUAAAACUCUGUUGUUAGGGAAGAACAAGUGCUAGUUGAAUAAGCUGACACCUUGACGGUACCUAACCAGAAAGCCACGGCUAACUACGUGCCAGCAGCCGCCGUAA
rnacentral:rRNA from 1 species